GGCUGCUUGCACAGACCUACUAAGUGCCAAGCUGGGUAACAUGCAGCCCGCCGCCUUGCUGGAGAGAGGAGACCUGAAACAAUGAGACAAGGCAAAUCGGGACGUGAUGACAAGCCCCAGGCGCUUGAUUUGAGUCAUGCACUGAGGAGAGUGGCUGCCACCCUGCAGAAGAGGCCAGGGCUGCCACAGGGGAAAUUUGCAUUUAAGGACUCCAAGUGGUGGGCGCCCUGGCGGGGCUGCAUGUCCCCUGCAGUCCAGCCGUGUUUGCCCUCGCACCUGGCAGUGACAUGUUGACUAUGCUCCGAUUUUGCCUGUAUCUGGCUGCCU